rnacentral:rRNA from 1 species
AUUGAACGCUGGCGGCAGACCUAACACAUGCAAGUCGAGCGGAUGAAGGGAGCUUGCUCCUGGAUUCAGCGGCGGACGGGUGAGUAAUGCCUAGGAAUCUGCCUGGUAGUGGGGGAUAACGUCCGGAAACGGGCGCUAAUACCGCAUACGUCCUGAGGGAGAAAGUGGGGGAUCUUCGGACCUCACGCUAUCAGAUGAGCCUAGGUCGGAUUAGCUAGUUGGUGGGGUAAAGGCCUACCAAGGCGACGAUCCGUAACUGGUCUGAGAGGAUGAUCAGUCACACUGGAACUGAGACACGGUCCAGACUCCUACGGGAGGCAGCAGUGGGGAAUAUUGGACAAAGGGCGAAAGCCUGAUCCAGCCAUGCCGCGUGUGUGAAGAAGGUCUUCGGAUUGUAAAGCACUUUAAGUUGGGAGGAAGGGCAGUAAGUUAAUACCUUGCUGUUUUGACGUUACCAACAGAAUAAGCACCGGCUAACUUCGUG